CACGCUGUAAACGAUGAGUGCUAGGUGUAGGGGGUAUCGACUCCCUCUGUGCCGCAGCAAACGCAUUAAGCACUCCGCCUGGGGAGUACGGUCGCAAGAUUAAAACUCAAAGGAAUUGACGGGGGCCCGCACAAGCGGUGGAGUAUGUGGUUUAAUUCGAUGAUACGCGAGAAACCUUACCUGGUCUUGACAUGCACGGAAUCUUGUGGAAACAUGAGGGUGCGCAGCAAUGCGAACCGUGACACAGGUGG
rnacentral:rRNA from 1 species